rnacentral:rRNA from 1 species
AUUGAACGCUGGCGGCAUGCCUUACACAUGCAAGUCGAACGGCAGCACGGGAGCAAUCCUGGUGGCGAGUGGCGAACGGGUGAGUAAUAUAUCGGAACGUGCCCAGUCGUGGGGGAUAACGCAGCGAAAGCUGUGCUAAUACCGCAUACGAUCUAUGGAUGAAAGCGGGGGAUCGCAAGACCUCGCGCGAUUGGAGCGGCCGAUAUCAGAUUAGCUAGUUGGUGAGGUAAAGGCUCACCAAGGCGACGAUCUGUAGCUGGUCUGAGAGGACGACCAGCAACACUGGAACUGAGAAACGGUCCAGACUCCUACGGGAGGCAGCAGUGGGGAAUUUUGGACAAUGGGCGCAAGCCUGAUCCAGCAAUGCCGCGUGCAGGAAGAAGGCCUUCGGGUUGUAAACUGCUUUUGUACGGAACGAAAAGGUCUGGGUUAAUACCCUGGGCACAUGACGGUACCGUAAGAAUAAGCACCGGCUAACUACGUGCCAGCAGCCGCCGUAA